rnacentral:lncRNA from 12 species
ACGGGACGCACGUGUCCCCAGAGGCAGUGCGGGCCGUAGUGAUUCUGUUCCCACAAAGCUAGAGAUGACACGCGUUAGCCCGGGUGGGGGGGUGCAGGUCUUAGCGCCCCCCACCCCCCUGCGGGUCUGCACCCCGGGGGCUCCAGUUCUCUCCAAAGCAAAAACAAAACCGGUGCUCAGCGGGCGACCCUCUCACCUCUCGGCCUCCGUCUCUGCGAUCCUGCAGGAAGCCUCUGAGCGCCCGGCUGCUCUCUGUGUGCGGCUGCGUCCGGGGCUCUGCAGACGCCCUGGCUCCGAUGCUCCUUCCCCCCGGUCUGCGGACAAGGCCGGGCCGAAGCCAGGGGACCCUGGGCCUCGCUGCGCCCCAGUCACCUCUCCCUGCUGCUGGCGAACUUCCCCUCUAAAUUCCUGCCGCGGGAUGUCCACGGUCUGUGCCAACGGCCUGAGUCUGCCUCCCCCGCACAUGCUCCACGCAGCACAGGAAAAGAUCCCAUUCCAGUCACUCAACUUUCUCUUCUGCUGUCGCUGGGCCACGUCUGAGUCCUCCAGACCCUUGAAGGAAAGCACAAAAAUGAACCUCUGAGUAAGAUAUUGGCACAUCGGAUGUCAGCCUAGGCAUAAUUUUAUUUUCGUUAUCUUGCUUUUUUUCUUUUCAUCUCUGGCUUUAUUGAAGGCUCCCUUGACACUUCACAUUUUGCUUAGAAAUAUUGGGGAUUGUGAGUGUAUUUUCCGGAAAGGAUUUUCUAGGAGAAGAAAGGAGAUGGAUUUACAUUCUAUUUUCCUCAUUGUUAGGGCCACGUUUCUUGACACAGCACAGUGAUAUUUUUGUUGAAAACAUCUAUCCCAGGUCUCUGGGUUUUCCUGAAUUUGUCUAACAAAAAGAGAUAGACAGAGAGAUUUUCUAGCUGUAAGUUUUUAAAGGUAUAAGACAUUAAAAAAAAAAAAACCUGCAUUAAAUUGGCAAAAUUAGCAACAGGAGUAGUGCUCUCUGUUUCCAAAUGCUUCUAGAAUUGAGAAUGGUUUCUUUUCUCUCAUUUUGGAGCUUGCACAAUUCUCACACCUGUGUCCUUCCUUACGCGGGGACAGACAAACACAAUCAUUGCAGACUACAACAUUUUUCUAAAACACGUGCCCACAGUUUUUUUUUAAAAUGAACGUAUUUGGCCCAUUGAUAUUACAUGACCAAGGCUUUAUACGAAAUCAGGCUUGGGACUGUUGCUUCUUCAGUGAGCCCUGUGGUGGGAAGUGUCUCCUAUAAGGAGAAAACAUGACAGGAGUGCUAACCACAGAAGCCGAUGUGACACGGUAGGCCAGGUGACACUCCCUGUUUGGAGGUGAAGCCCAAAGUCACCACAUCCUGGAGACUACUUUGCCCUUAACUAGUCCUAGGUGCGGGGGACACCGGGCGUCCCUUUGUCCAGGCACGAGUAAGCCGGCUCCCCUGGCUCCGGCUCCCGGGCACUACUCGAUCUUUGCAGUUUCCCGGCGCGGGCUCCCCCGAAGCAGGAAUACGGUCCUUUUAAUUUUUAUCAGGCAAGCGCUCCCAGCAGAUUUAAGGCGGUGGACACACCUGUGGGGACGCC